rnacentral:tRNA from 1 species
AAAUCCGUUGGCUUUAUUGACCGUGAGGGUUCAAGUCCCNCUACCCCC